CUUGAAGCCACUGUGCAGGCUGAGACCUGCCUGAUUGUUGAGGGAGGUGGAAGCCUUGAUCAGACACAGAAACUCCUGAGCAAGAUGAUGCCCGACUCCUUCGUGAGGUUUCUGCCCUGAACCAAAGUCUUCUCUGGCUGAGUCAUCAGCAAGUGUAACUAAAUGAAGACCUCCCUGGGUCCCCCAGGCCUUUUCUUUCUGCUGAAGACAUCUGCCAGGAACAAGGAGACCAUGACAACCCUUCCAUGGUGGAGUUGCUAUCAUGAGCUGCUGGGGAAUUAGCUCACCGCUCAGGGCCUGGAUUGAUUAGCUGCUGUGAGGCUCUAUCCAGAGCUGUGAGACUGAGCCCCACUCCUCCAGUGGGCUUUCCCACUCUGUCCUCUGCCCACAGCUCUGCGAGGGAACACAGAAGAGUGGAUGCAGGGAUCUCCCUGUCAAACACAGUCCAUGACAGCUCUUUGCUAAGACUAAUUAGGAAACCAAUCAGGGGAAGUGAAUUUACAAGUCUCCUCAGUGGGAACUGAACAGAGACCUGCAGAUUCCAUCUCGGCA